rnacentral:lncRNA from 1 species
CUUUAUACAAGCCAUUUCACUGCCUCAAAGCAAUGGUUUUAGGUUCUUAUCCAAUUUGGGACCAAAUAUCGAUAGGUCUUUCUUCUCACUUCUAAACAUUCUUCAUGCUUCUCUAGCACUAGUAAUCAAUCAAAUUCAUUGUAUUAUAACAUAUUCUAAACCAAAUAACUUUAUACAAGCCAUUCACUGACUCAAAGCAAUGGUUUUUGGGCUCUUAUCCCAUUUGGGACCAAUAUCAACAAAUCUUUCUUCUCACUUCUAAACAUUCUUCAUGUAUCUCUAGCACUUGUAAUCAAUCAAAUUCAUUGUAUUAUAACAUAUUCUAAACCAAAAUAACUUUAUACAAGCCAUUCACUGCCUCAAAGCAAUGGUUUUGGGUUCUUAUCCCAUUUGGGACCAA